rnacentral:pre_miRNA from 1 species
UUUUUAGUGUAAGUAUAUCCCAUGCAAUAUUUGCGACAUACUUAUACUAAAA